ACUCUAAGCGGUGGAUCACUCGGCUCAUGGGUCGAUGAAGAACGCAGCAAACUGUGCGUCAUCGUGUGAACUGCAGGACACAUGAACAUCGACAUUUUGAACGCAUAUCGCAGUCCAUGCUGUUAUGUACUUUAAUUAAUUUUAUAGUGCUGCUUGGACUACAUAUGGUUGAGGGUUGUAAGACUAUGCUAAUUAAGUUGCUUAUAAAUUUUUAUAAGCAUAUGGUAUAUUAUUGGAUAAAUAUAAUAAUUUUUAUUCAUAAUAUUAAAAAAUAAAUGAAAAACAUUAUCUCACAUUUGAAUGUGAAAAACGAAGAGAAAUAUUUUCUUUUUCAAUCAAAUAAUACUGAGAAAUGUCUAGCAUAAAAAAUUGAAAUAUUUUUCAUCUAGAAUUGUCUCUUAUUAAUGAUUCGGAAAUAGAAAAAUCUUGGUUAUGUUAUUAUUCUUCGUUGGUUCGUUAAAAAUGGAUAAAUAAAAACUUUGCAUACAAGAAUUAAUAAAAAUGUUAUAACGAAUUUAAUUAAAUGUUUUAUCAUUAUAUAUAAAGAAUUUAUGGCAAGAUAAAGUUAUAUACAACCUCAACUCAUAUGGGACUACCCCCUGAAUUUAAGCAUAUUAAUUAGGGGAGGAAAAGAAACUAACAAGGAUUUUCUUAGUAGCGGCGAGCGAAAAGAAAACAGUUCAGCACUAAGUCACUUUGUCUAUAUGGCAAAUGUGAGAUGCAGUGUAUGGAGCGUCAAUAUUCUAGUAUGAGAAAUUAACGAUUUAAGUCCUUCUUAAAUGAGGCCAUUUACCCAUAGAGGGUGCCAGGCCCGUAUAACGUUAAUGAUUACUAGAUGAUGUUUCCAAAGAGUCGUGUUGCUUGAUAGUGCAGCACUAAGUGGGUGGUAAACUCCAUCUAAAACUAAAUAUAACCAUGAGACCGAUAGUAAACAAGUACCGUGAGGGAAAGUUGAAAAGAACUCUGAAUAGAGAGUUAAACAGUACGUGAAACUGCUUAGAGGUUAAGCCCGAUGAACCUGAAUAUCCGUUAUGGAAAAUUCAUCAUUAAAAUUGUAAUAUUUAAAUAAUAUUAUGAGAAUAGUGUGCAUUUUUUCCAUAUAAGGACAUUGUAAUCUAUUAGCAUAUACCAAAUUUAUCAUAAAAUAUAACUUAUAGUUUAUUCCAAUUAAAUUGCUUGCAUUUUAACACAGAAUAAAUGUUAUUAAUUUGAUAAAGUGCUGAUAGAUUUAUAUGAUUACAGUGCGUUAAUUUUUCGGAAUUAUAUAAUGGCAUAAUUAUCAUUGAUUUUUGUGUUUAUUAUAUGCACUUGUAUGAUUAACAAUGCGAAAGAUUCAGGAUACCUUCGGGACCCGUCUUGAAACACGGACCAAGGAGUCUAACAUAUGUGCAAGUUAUUGGGAUAUAAACCUAAUAGCGUAAUUAACUUGACUAAUAAUGGGAUUAGUUUUUUAGCUAUUUAUAGCUAAUUAACACAAUCCCGGGGCGUUCUAUAUAGUUAUGUAUAAUGUAUAUUUAUAUUAUUUAUGCCUCUAACUGGAACGUACCUUGAGCAUAUAUGCUGUGACCCGAAAGAUGGUGAACUAUACUUGAUCAGGUUGAAGUCAGGGGAAACCCUGAUGGAAGACCGAAACAGUUCUGACGUGCAAAUCGAUUGUCAGAAUUGAGUAUAGGGGCGAAAGACCAAUCGAACCAUCUAGUAGCUGGUUCCUUCCGAAGUUUCCCUCAGGAUAGCUGGUGCAUUUUAAUAUUAUAUAAAAUAAUCUUAUCUGGUAAAGCGAAUGAUUAGAGGCCUUAGGGUCGAAACGAUCUUAACCUAUUCUCAAACUUUAAAUGGGUAAGAACCUUAACUUUCUUGAUAUGAAGUUCAAGGUUAUGAUAUAAUGUGCCCAGUGGGCCACUUUUGGUAAGCAGAACUGGCGCUGUGGGAUGAACCAAACGUAAUGUUACGGUGCCCAAAUUAACAACUCAUGCAGAUACCAUGAAAGGCGUUGGUUGCUUAAAACAGCAGGACGGUGAUCAUGGAAGUCGAAAUCCGCUAAGGAGUGUGUAACAACUCACCUGCCGAAGCAACUAGCCCUUAAAAUGGAUGGCGCUUAAGUUGUAUACCUAUACAUUACCGCUAAAGUAGAUGAUUUAUAUUACUUGUGAUAUAAAUUUUGAAACUUUAGUGAGUAGGAAGGUACAAUGGUAUGCGUAGAAGUGUUUGGCGUAAGCCUGCAUGGAGCUGCCAUUGGUACAGAUCUUGGUGGUAGUAGCAAAUAAUCGAAUGAGACCUUGGAGGACUGAAGUGGAGAAGGGUUUCGUGUGAACAGUGGUUGAUCACGAGUUAGUCGGUCCUAAGUUCAAGGCGAAAGCCGAAAAUUUUCAAGUAAAACAAAAAUGCCUAACUAUAUAAACAAAGCGAAUUAUAAUACACUUGAAUAAUUUUGAACGAAAGGGAAUACGGUUCCAAUUCCGUAACCUGUUGAGUAUCCGUUUGUUAUUAAAUAUGGGCCUCGUGCUCAUCCUGGCAACAGGAACGACCAUAA
rnacentral:rRNA from 1 species